GGCCUCAGUCUUUCGCCGUGUCUCGCCGUCCCUCGCCAUCGCACGCCAUCGCACGCCACCGCACCCCUUCUCUCGAAAUCUGUAGACAUCUUGAUUUUUCCCACGCUGUCUGUCAGGUCUCCGCCGCCACUCGACGCCAGGGCGCCGGGUGAGUCCACAGCAGGGCGCGUGGUCUGCUCCACUCUCACCAUCGGGGGAAACUGAGGCCCCGGGGAAGGCGGCCAGAGAGAUCAGGCCCGGUCCCUGGUGCAGUGCCUCGUCCUCUUUGCCGGAGUGAGCUCCCCAGGAUUCGCGUGUCCUCGGGAAAACACUGGCGGGCCUUGUGGGUUGUGCUGCUCCUCGGACGGCUUCGCACCAGCCAGCGCCCCCUCUCUCCUGCAGCACUCUGAUCUGCACCCCCUGAGGGGCUUCCACUGUCCGCGGGGUGAGAAUGCCCCUGGGAGUGUCACAUGACUGUCACCCCAUGUGUGUGAGAGGUGUCCUCUGGGAGAGCAUGGACCCUGAGGUCCCAGGUGAGUGGGGUCCUGCUCGGUUCUCUAGAGCUCAAGUUUUCUGCAGGUUGUGAGGCCAGAGGUGGUUGGGUGCUGAGGAGUGGGGAGUGAGGACACAGGUGAAGGCUGCUUCCCUUUGCUCCUGUCUUUGCUCCUUCAGCAGGCAGGGACAGGUCUGGGCCCUCUUCUGCCUUCAUGGGGCUGCUGCCAAGAAGGUGCUCCCUGAGCUUGAUUGGGGCUCUGAGAGUCCCUGAGACAGACGCCGUGAUGUUGAGAGGAAAA
rnacentral:sRNA from 1 species